rnacentral:rRNA from 1 species
UACAGAGGUCUCAAGCGUUGUUCGGAUUUAUUGGGCGUAAAGGGUGCGUAGGCGGCGCGGUAAGUCGGGGGUGAAAUCUCGGAGCUUAACUCCGAAACUGCAUUCGAUACUGCAGUGCUUGAGGACUGGAGAGGAGACUGGAAUUUACGGUGUAGCGGUGAAAUGCGUAGAUAUCGUAAGGAACACCAGUGGCGAAGGCGGGUCUCUGGACAGUUCCUGACGCUGAGGCACGAAGGUCAGGGGAGCAAACGGG